AUACUUACCCAACAGGGGAGAUACCAUGAUCACAAAGGUGGUUCACCAGGCCGAGGCUCAUCCAUUGCACUGUGGAUGUGCUGACUCCUGCGAUUUCCCCAAAUGUGGGAAACUCGACCGCAUAAUGUAUGGCAGUGGGGGACUGCAUUCACGCUUUCCCCUG
ensembl:snRNA U1 U1 spliceosomal RNA